UGGACAACUUAGCUUCUGGCUAUAACAAGGGCCUCUGAGGCAAGUUACAGUAGCCGCAUAUAUUUCCGAUGCACCAGAAACAAAAAGCAGAGUAAUGAUGAACAACCUGUUGCUGCUGCUGCUAGAGACCACCAUAGCUUUUCUUUUCCAGUAACCUAACUAUACAUGCACUUGCUUAUCAAACUCCUGUUCUGUUUAUAGAAAGUCCUUCCGCAAGUGGGAUUUCUUAAUACUUCUACUUUCUCUCCCAGCAGAAAGGAAUCGAA
rnacentral:misc_RNA from 1 species